UUCACAGUAAUUAGGAGAAAAAAUGCCAAAAAUGAAAAUUUAUUUCUCCCUACAAAAAUCGGCCAUGAACAAACCCAAUACUCUCUGUCUGCUCACACACAAUCUCAAUCUUCUUCCCUUCUCACUUCCGAUUCAACCAAAGUAAAACUCCACUCACGAAUCCGGAUAACUCUCACGUUUCCGGCUAUACCACUCAUGAAUCCGGCCAAACCUCUCACAACCCUAGCCAUGGCGCUCACAAAUCCGGCCAUGGGCUCGCGAAUCCGGCCACGGCGCGAUCGUCACUUAUGAAUCCGGCGAUGACUCUCUCCUUACCACACAAAUGCGCGGCCGAUGUAAACAAGAAGGACAUGACAAAAUGAAACAGAGGUACGAUUUCGAAAUAGACCAUAUCACAAUGGAAGGGGAUCAAAAGCGGAAACGAAGGAACAUACCUUCGACGGUAACCGGUUUGCACAGAGGUAAGGAUUGGUCCUUGCUGUCAAAUUUAUGCAAUUGGUAUUGGGUUACAAAAUUCUUUCUAGGAGGACAAGCACUGCCUUAACAUUUUAGUGAAAAUUCAUGCAAAUUCAUGCUUUGUCAUGGUUUUUGUGUUGCCUUUGUAUUCUUUCCCAAUUUAUGUUAACCUGAUUUUAUUUUUCUAUUGCAAUAGGACAAAAAUUAUGCUUCAAGUCACUUGUCCAAGUUGAUACUAAGGUUCAUGAGUAGAAAAAAAUGUACCUUAUUAUAAUGUAAAAACUUAUUUCUAUAUCUUCUGAAUUUUUCUAUAUUUGCGACGUAGAAGACAAAUUAUAAUCUAAAAACAUAUUUUUCUGAA